rnacentral:rRNA from 1 species
AGAGUUUGAUCCUGGCUCAGAGCGAACGCUGGCGGCAGGCCUAACACAUGCAAGUCGAACGAACUCUUCGGAGUUAGUGGCGGACGGGUGAGUAACACGUGGGAACGUGCCUUUAGGUUCGGAAUAACUCAGGGAAACUUGUGCUAAUACCGAAUGUGCCCUUCGGGGGAAAGAUUUAUCGCCUUUAGAGCGGCCCGCGUCUGAUUAGCUUGUUGGUGGGGUAAUGGCCCACCAAGGCUACGAUCAGUAGCUGGUCUGAGAGGAUGACCAGCCACAUUGGGACUGAGACACGGCCCAAACUCCUACGGGAGGCAGCAGUGGGGAAUCUUGCGCAAUGGGCGAAAGCCUGACGCAGCCAUGCCGCGUGUAUGAUGAAGGUCUUAGGAUUGUAAAAUACUUUCACCGGUGAAGAUAAUGACUGUAGCCGGAGAAGAG